CCAAUAGCGUAUAUUAAAGUUGUUGCAGUUAAAAAGCUCGUAGUUGAACUUCAGGCCUGUCCAGACGGUCCGCCUUAAUUGGUGUGUACUGUCCUUGGGUGGGUCCUACCUUCUGGCGAAGCGGCAUGGCCUUAAUUGGUUGUGUCGGGGAACCAGGACUAUUACUGUGAAAAAAUUAGAGUGUUCAAAGCAGGCAAAUAUGCUCGAAUACAUUAGCAUGGAAUAAUGGAAUAGGACGAUGGUUCUAUUUUGUUGGUUCUAGGACCGUUGUAAUGAUUAAUAGGGAUAGCUGGGGGCAUUAGUAUUCAAUUGUCAGAGGUGAAAUUCUUGGAUUUAUUGAAGACUAACUACUGCGAAAGCAUUUGCCAAGGAUGUUUUCAUUAAUCAAGAACGAAAGUUAGGGGAUCGAAGACGAUCAGAUACCGUCGUAGUCUUAACCAUAAACUAUGCCGACUAGGAAUCGGGCGAUGUUGACAAAAUGACUCGCUCGGCACCUCAUG
rnacentral:rRNA from 1 species